AGAUAUUAUAACUUGUCAUAGAUGCGAUAGAAUCCUAUGGUCUAAGGAUUCUAUUGAGUCUUAACAGGUAAAUUGUUGUAUAAUUACAACUACAAUCUUGUUUUACACUGUCAUACACCAUGUAUUAAAUAUAUAGGGGAUGAGACGUUUCUCUCAGCAAUAUGCCCGGGCGUACUAUGCCGCGGAGGGGAUGUCUGUACAUCAGAAAUGGGCUUCUUGACUACAUUCAAAAGGAGAAUUGAACCGUGGUUUUCUCAACAGUUGUGUGCAAAACAAAAUGAGGAAUGAUGAACGUGACCAGAGGUGAUGAAGGUGUGUGUUCCAGAUGUACUCAAGUACGGAAGAUAUUCAUAGAGAAGGAGAACCGUGAACCAGUCAACAAACUUUUACCGGUUCACACCGAAAUUAAGAUUCUAACCGAGGGUGGCAGGAGAAGACAAGGAGAAGAACCAAAGAAAACAGGAAAGAAGAGAUUUGCGGAUCAAGUCGCCAAAGCAGCGUCAGCAUUACGUAACAGCGGUGGAGGAGUGUUGUUAGUCCACGUACAAGGGACGUCCCAGGAAGACCGGUGUCUGGAGUACUUUGACGAGGCCGUCAGAAAGGAGUUGACAGGGUUACUUGAAAACGGUGAACUCUAUACUGACGUCUAUGAACGUAAAUGUUUGUGUCAGAUUGAAACAUUUGAAGAUAUCACUGACUUUGUUCAGAUAACAGUUGGGAAAGUUGAGAGUGUAUGUACUGUUGAUUUCAACACAAAAGCAAGUAAUGACAGUGAGAAUCUUAGCAUCAACUCAUUAAACAUACAGGUGUUACUGAGAAAAACAGAAACUCCAGCAGGUAGCGUCCCUUCUGCAGAGCUGCCAGAUAACGUCCAGGACCUUCACGAGAAUCGACAUAUACAACUGAAAACAUUCAGGACCACGAGAGAAGUAACAAGCAUUAAGGGAGAUGCUAAACAGUUGACUGACUACAUAUGGAAGACAUUGAAGCUCAAGGACAACAUUACAUCUAUGUCCAAGGUUGUUGGUGGGGGGUCAUACUUCUUGGGUGUUAGCGAAUCGAAACUAACAACAAAAGAAGGAUAUGCAACUAAGAAACCGGAAUACACUGGUUUUAAGCUGGACAUAUCACAAGAGUCUCUGAGAGAACACAUUUACAAGAAGCUGGAAACUGACAUCUGUGUCUUGGAUCUUGACGGACAUUUUACAGAAGGACCAAGGGACUUGGUCGAUAUUAGAUUCCACACCAUACGGAAUGCUGGCUUAGUUGUAUUGGAAGUUGCCAUUCGUUAUUGUCAGGGAGUCGUGUUCUACGACAAAGAAGGACCCAGAACAUAUUUUGUCACAGAUAGCGGUGCGACAAAGACGGAAAAUGUUUGUCGAAUGAAUCGUUCUGAAUGGCUUCGAAGAUUACAGAUCAUGCACUCUCAUUUUCAUACUUAAACUGUUGGGAAGUAGCUGCUCAAUCUAUGACAGUCUAAACUAAUAACUCACGUAGAUCAACAUUUGACAUUUGAGUAUAGUUUGAUAAGCAACCAUGUCCGACAGUGACGCUGGAACAUCAACUGGUUCUACACCUUAUGAGUCGGAGGAUGACAUGAUAUGCUACAUCACCGGAUCCACACAAUCACCAUCCGAGCAUCCUGACCAGGAACCAGAUGCCAGACGACUCAAUGAAAGAAGUUUGCAUUCCCGACAGAUGCAGACAGAAACGACGCCAUUGGCUGGGGCAUCAGUAGCUGCUGCUGACGGUGUCCUGGGUCCUGACACAAACAACCAUUUGAACAAGACAAGCGUUUCUAACAGCGAUGUGCCGUCAACUGUACCUGCUGAUGGCAGUGCGGAAAGUCCAUACAUGAGAACUCCUGACAGAACAGUUAUCAACCGGCUAUCUGUGCUUUCUGACGAUGGUAUUUACCCAAGCAGUCGGCGACGUCUGAAAAAAAACAAAAUGGGCAAAAAGUCAAAGUACCAGGUGUCUGAAGCUCCAGCUUCUGCUGCCAAGAAGAGUAAUUUGGGCAGAACUGAAUCUGUAGCUUCUACGGACAGUGGCAUAGGUAGUAUGCGAAAUCUUAGGAGUCGGAGGGAGAUGAGUGAUAGGGUUUAUACAACCACUGCCAGAUGAAACAAAAUUUGGGGCAGAGAAGCUUAGACGAGGCAUCUGUAGUUUCUGGCAACAGUGGCGUGGGUAGUGACACAAUCAAACUGCAUAUCUUGAAGGUGGCACAAUUGUGCUCUCUGUGAGCUACCUGUUAUCCAUUUCCUGUUGAUGUUAAGUGCUGCUUAUUUCCACUUCUCGUGUAUUUGUUCCUGUUACUCCAACUUGAUAAAUGAAACACUGCUGUAUGAUUACGGGGUGGGAUAAGUUAUGUUUCUAUAUAUAUAUGAACCUUCUUGCGCCUAACGGGCAGCUUGGGGUAUCCGGGGUAAUAAUGUCGGUGCGGGCUGGCCUUAUUAUCAAUAUUAUCAAUGUUUAUUGAUUGGGAGACCAUUUACACUGUUAAAUGCGUCUACAAAGAAAUUUUAUCCUUUUUUAUCCCAUAUCUGGCUGAACUUAAUACUGCUUUAAGGAAUUCUAUAUCAAAACCAGACGCCGCUAUCAAUCAAAAAUGUAGAAAUUUAAAAUGAAAACGUUAAAAACUGAAACUGUUACCUGAGUGAGUGAGUAAAUAUUGCUUAAUACCCCAUCAGCAAUGUUGCAGUUAUUUGUGGCCACUACAGGUACCUAGGCACUAUCAUUAACUAUAAACCAACUUGGAAAGAAAAUACUGAAUAUGAGUGCAAAAACUGCCAACAAAGGUUGUAUAUUUUGCGAUGUGUAUGUCAAUUCGAAGUUGAUUAAACUCUUACGGGCUUGAGCUUUUUCAUAAAACAUUUAUCCGAAGCAUAUUAAUUAUUUUUGCUAUAUUUUCUCUGUUGCUUCGGCGACCUCUCUGUAAAAAGACCUACACUGAAUACAACAAGAAAUUAUUGUCCCUCCAGCUUUAACAACUCCCAUCGGCUUACUUUACAAGCAGCAAGUGGUUAAGGCGGUACAGAACCCUUUAAACGACAGUUCCCAUUUUGUGUCCAGCAACUUGACAUAACCUUCAGGACACCGCUUGCCAGUGUCGAUUAUUAACAACAAACAGGUCUUACCAUUCAUUUAUCCCUUGUAUAUAGUAUCAGAGCUUUCAACAAUUAUCAAUGUAUUUUGGUAAAUUGUUCUCGGUUAUUCCAUUAAUUUGUGUUCUUUUUUUUCUUGACAACCCCAGCUUUACCUUUCUAGUGUUGUACAAGAUCUUACCAUUUUUUGUCCAAGUCAGUAUACGAGCUUUCAAUAUCAAUUUGCUAUUAGCUUCUUGAAUAGUUAUGCCUUUCACUAUAACUGUUAUGCAUAUCUUAGACGACGUUUUCUGUUACAUUUCAGUGCUUCAAUGUACACUAUAUGCUCCCCAUAAUCCACUAUCCGAGCUUUAUUCAACAAGCCUAUUACUGUUACAUAUACUGGACAAACUAAGUUAGGGAUAUUGGUAUUUUUAUGAUUGAUACUUUAUCAGUGUGUCAAUGAAUAAACAUAUCAUUAUUCAUAAUUUCAAAAUUUAUAUAUAUCCCUUUUUGUCCAGUAUAUUUCUGCACCAUGAAUUCUGUAACAUUCCUAGUGCCGUACAAACACUGGAUACGUAUGUUUAUAUAUGUUGUUUAUUUUAUUUUUAUGCAUUCUUUUAAAAUAAAAUAUUAAAUGGUUA